GCGCAAAAUAUAUCACUAGAUAAUCCAGAGGUGAAAAUAUUAUUUAAAACAAUACCACUACCCAGCAACCCAAAUCCAACACGAAAUUAUCACAAAACGAUGUCAUGAAACUAAUCAAAUACUCAAGUGAUCGAUGCCGUCUCAUGAUCUCAUCGUGUCACCGAUGAUGGAUCAUCCAAUCCCAUCUAAUUAGAGAGCUUAGCUAGGCAGCGACCCAACUGAAAGAACCCUAUCAUGCACCAAGCAUGCAUGCUUCGCAAAUCGCUUUCGUCUCUACUUAUAAAUCUCACGUCAACCACCUCCUCUCCGUCGAUGCAAAUGGUUGGUUGGUCUGUUUGAUUGGUUUGGUCGAAUUGGUUCGCCAUUGCCAUGUCCUUGAAGCUGCCGGAGCGGCCGGCAGCUGCGGGUGGUGCUGUUCUUGGUCGCGAUCACCAUGUCGUCGCCGGCGGCGCCGCCGCCUGAGCUGAGCACAGGUGGUGGUGAUGGCGGCGGUUCGGUCGGCGUGCCCGGCACGGCGAGCUCCAACUUCACGCUGCUGUACAUCAUCAUCGCCGUCCUCGUCAGCGUGAUACUGUACAUGGCCAUCCGGUACGGGCGGGCGGUGAUGUCGGAGUGGAGGCAGUUGCAGCACGGUGGCGGCGGCGGGCGGCACCGGCACGGCG
rnacentral:lncRNA from 1 species